rnacentral:rRNA from 1 species
CGUGUGGUUCUAUUUUGUUGGUUAUGGGACCGCCGUAAUGAUUAAUAGGGACAGUCGGGGGCAUCAGUAUUCAAUUGUCAGAGGUGAAAUUCUUGGAUUUAUUGAAGACUAACUACUGCGAAAGCAUUUGCCAAGGAUGUUUUCAUUAAUCAGGAACGAAAGUUAGGGGAUCGAAGACGAUCAGAUACCGUCGUAGUCUUAACCAUAAACUAUGCCGACUAGGGAUCGGGCGAUGUUACUUUUUGACUCGCUCGGCACCUUACAAGAAAUCAAAGUUUGUGGGUUCCUGGGGGAGUAUGGUGGCAACGCUGAAACUUAAAGAAAUUGACGGAAGGGCACCACCAGGGGUGGAGCCUGCGGCUUAAUUUGACUCAACACGGGGAAACUCACCAGGUCCAGACACAAUGAGGAUUGACAGAUUGAGAGCUCUUUCUUGAUUUUGUGGGUGGUGGUGCAUGGCCGUUCUUAGUUGGUGGAGUGAUUUGUCUGCUUAAUUGCGAUAACGAACGAGACCUUAACCUGCUAAAUAGCCCGUGUUGCUUCUGCAGCACGCCGGCUUCUUAGAGGGACUAUCGGCUCAAGCCGAUGGAAGUUUGAGGCAAUAACAGGUCUGUGAUGCCCUUAGAUGUUCUGGGCCGCACGCGCGCGACACUGACAGGGCCAGCGAGUUCUCCCUUGUCCGAAAGGACCGGGUAAUCUUGUUAAACCCUGUCGUGC